CGCCAAUGAAUAAAUUCUGGCUUGCCUUGUGAGAGCGGGGUGCGCAGUGACAGUGCGCCACCGCCAUCCGAGGGGAAGUGAGGACAGGCGGACACGUUAGUCAGCGACGAGCACCAAAACUUUUGUCUCAUCAGGGUCCUGUUAAAUAAUGAUCCUCAAUUAAUAUCUCUGGAGGAAUAGAAGAAAGAGAAGGAGAGAGAGAGAAAGCGUGGUCAACGUUCAUCGGAUAUAUUCUAUAGAUAGGUGAUGGCCCAGGGCGGCGAUGGCAGGGUGAAGGCGAGGUCGUGAGCCGGCCAGCCCCCCCACCCCCGCCAGCCGGCUCCUCCUCCCAUCCUAAGGGCCCUCAUCCUCGAGGGCGCGACUUGUCUGCGGAAUCUGCGUGCUGAGGAGGUCGUCAGCUUCGUCUGUAAGAGCUGAUUGAGUUUCCUUUA